UUGAAUAUCGAUUUAUUUCUCGACACCUUGAUCAAAUCAAUUUGGUCCGUCUAUUCUACCCCAAAAUCUCUCUAUAUACCAUAGCUUCUCUCAUUACCCAAACUAUCUUUUGGACAAUCGUAUCGUUUCUGAUUAUGUUUUCUACUAUUUCUUACGUUCUUGCUUGAAUAAUUUUGAUUUCUUGUGCGAUUUCGGUUGGUGCUUCUAACAUAGGCAAUCAGGUUUUGUGUUUCCGAUAGAAUACUGCUUUUGUGUUUCCGAAUGGAUUGCUAUUUUGCGACGUGCGAUUUGAUAUCUCCGACUCCGAGUCUUUUGAUUCUAAUGUUGAUUGUAUAUUGAUGGAUUUGAACUGGCGACCGUUCGAUUUAGGUUGUAAAUUUUCUGCUGCGUCUGUUAAGGGUUAUUCGGGUAUUUGGCAACGAUUGAUGAUCUAGGGAUGGUUAGGGUUCCCGGUUUGGUAUAUUUUGAUCAUGCUUCUACCGUGUCCGGACAAUAAAAAGGGUUAACAUUUUUCCCCGUCCCUGUCAAAUUUUUUUCCUUCUCCGGGGUCUGAUGCUUUGGUGAAAUUCACUUCUUUUUACUCCUCUGGCCAUGAAUGUCAAUCGCUGGAUAUUCUUCUCUUGCGUUGUGCCGAUGAGAAGUUUCAAGAGUUUUAUUCAUGAUUUUUCGUUUCAAGAUUUCACGUCUCUUCCUUUAUCUUUCUACAUCACCUAUAUUUUCUAAUUGCAGAAUCCCUGUAGUUGUGUAUUGUUGGGCAUUUUCCAGUAGUAUGGCUGAUGACUGAUUUUGGGGAAAAAGAAUGUGAGCUGUACUGUUGGACAAGAAAGGAUGAUUUUGGUCUCUAUUUAUUCCAUCACUACUAUUACUUAAUUUAUAAUCCAUAUGCGCUCAUCUAAUCUGCAGCAUUGAGCAAGUGAUAUAGGUACCAAUAUUUGGGGUUGGUCAAGCUGUAGUUCAUAAAGCUCUCUCCUUUUCAUCAGUUUUUGUUAGUUACAUAUAUAUGAAUAUUGUUUUCCACCUCACCCUAUGACAGGAGAUACAAAAUAGGUUUUGAUUCUAUCAGAGUAGGAGCUUAAGGUGGGACUAUCUUGUUCUGGUUGCUGGACAUGGACCAAUCUUUCACGCUGUCAGUGAUAUAGUGUUUACGAUGGUGGCACUGGUAGUAUAGUUAGUAUAAUAUUCUUUUUUCUACCACAUUUGAUCACCUACCUAGACUUUCCCUGCGCUUAUUGUUAUACGCUUCUAUUUCCAGAUGUCUGAUCAUGGUGUGGUUCUUAAUCAACAUUUACUGGAAAAGCAGUUCUGGUGGUUUGAUGCUUGGUUAUCUUUGCUCUCUAUUAUCAGUUUUUUUAUCUGAUUACGUAGACGUGGAUAUUGGUUUUGGCUUCACACUGUGACAGGAAAUACAAAGUAAGCUUUGAUUCUAUCAAACGUGGAGCUUAAGGUGGGGCUAUCUUGGUCUGGUUGUUAGACAUAGACCAAUCUUUGAUGCUGUCAGUGAUUCGAUGGUGACUGAGAGGGGAGUAUAGUAUAGUAUCUUUUUGAUUCAUAUUAUCUCCUACCUAGACAUUCCCCGUGCUUAUCGUUAUAUUAUUCAAUUUCCAGAUGUCUGAUUGUUGUGUGGUUUUUAAUCAACCUUCAGUGGAAGGCAGUUCUGGUUUGCUUUCUCUUUUAUCAGUUUUUUGUUUUGUUUGUUACGUAGAUGUGGAUAUUUUUUUGGCCUCACCCUGUGACAGGAGAUACAGAAUAUGUGGCAUUGAUAUAGUGUUUAUCGAGGGUGGCAGAGGGAGUAUUUGUAGUUUUCAACUGUCAUUUAUCUUCUAGCUUGGACUUUCCCCUUGCUUAUUGUUAUGCUCUUCAAUUUCCAGAUGUCUGAUCUUUGGGUGGUUCUUGAUCAGUUUUCAAGGGAAGGCGAUUCUGGUUUGAUGCUUGGUUCCCUGUUGCUCUGUUUCAUCAGUUUUUUGUUUUGUUUGUUACGUAGAUGUGGAUAUUUUUUUUGCCUCACCAUUGUGACAGGAGAUACUUUAGUGUUGAUUCUAUCAAAUUAAGAGCUUAUCCUGGUCUGGUUGUUGGACAUGGAGCAAUCUUCGAUGCUGGCCUUGAAGGGAGUAUAGUAUUUUUCUACUAGUCAUUUUUGUUCUAGUUGGACUUUCCCCUUGCUUAUUGUUUUGCUCUUCAAUUUCCAGAAGUCUGAGUCUGAUCUUUGGGUGGCUCUUUAUCAGUUUUCAAGGGAAGGCGUUCUGGUUUGAUGCUUGUUUCCGUUUUGCCUGUUUCAUCAGUUUUAUGUUUGUUACAUUGAUGUGGAUAUUUUUUUCGGCCUCACCGUGUCACAGGAGAUACAAAAUAAGUUUUGAUUCUAUCAAAUUAGGAGCUGAAGGUGGGGUAUGUUGGUCUGGUUGUUGGACAUGACCAAUGCUGAAGAUAUUUUGCUCUUUUUAAUCUGUUUUUUGAGGAGUCUACUGGUCUACACGAAAGAUGGUUUUAUUUUGAAACUAUUCCAUGCUCUUUAUAUUAUUCUCUGGUUAUAUGCUGCGAUGGUCGGCUUAUCUUCAGCAUUUCAAUUGGUGAAGAUGUGUAUAGUUUAUCUUCGACACUCAUACUGGUUAUCUACUGUUGUGGUCUCUUCUUCUUUUGAAGUUAUUCAACUCGGGUGUUCAAAUUAUGUCUGGUUUCCUCAGUUACAAGAAUGUUUACCUAAAGGCAGAAUGUCCGUUGUACUUGCUUGCUGAUAAAACCUGCUGGAUGAGAUUUUGGUGUCGCUUUGUUUUGAUCUCGCUUGUAAGGCUUCUAUUUGAUUAUGGUUGGUCUUCUACAUAUUGGGAAAGCCUCUGAAACUCUUUGCUGCUUAUAACAUUUUGAUUGGGAGGGAGUUCCUUUCGUGUGCUUAAGAUGGUGUAGUAUGUAUAUGAUGCGGUGCGAAGAUAUGGACUUCAAGUUUCUCAUAUUGGCUGUUCGUCGUGGGUUUACUGUUCUGUUCUGUUUGUUUGUUUGUUUUUUUUUUUUUUUUUUUGUCAGUAGAAGUUGUUAGUGGUAUUUGUUGACCAGGUGCUCCUGGUCUUUAGGUAUUAAUUUCGUAAACAUGUUUAGACGCUGCAAACAUGUUUUGAUUGGUGUAUAUUGUUGUUACAUCGACAAUUGUUGUACAGUUUUGUUUUGUAGUCCAUCUCUUGAUUGAUGUCUUGGAAGUCAGAUAUCAGGUCAUUGGAACCCAUGAAAUAAGAAUUAUAUCAUAUAUAUAUGAACUUUUUAUUGUCUAUAUCAGCGUGCUUAUUUUAAAAUUUGCUUGUUUGAUGUAUUUCCUCCAAAUACCUAAUGGUACAUACUUCCUUUCGUGUUUUAGUGAGAUUUCUUAUUUUGGUUAGAUUUUGUGAGGUAGUGAGAGCUUAGAAUAAAAGAUAUCCUAUAUUCAUAUAAUACAUUCAUAUCUUGUAGAACUAUGAUAGGGAAUAAUUGGGGAGCUUUCUUUUGUAGACUUUCCCGCGCUUAUCGUUAUUCUCUUCAAUUUCUAGAUGCCUGAUUGCUUUGUGGUUCUUAAUCAAGCUUCACUGGAAGGCAGUUCUUUUUUGAUGCUUGGUUAUCUUUGCUCUCUAUUAUAGCUUUUUUUUAAUGUAGACUUGGAAUUUUUUUUUUUUAUCUUUGCUCUCUAUCAUAUUUUUUUAUAAUGUAGACUUGGAAAUUUUUUGUCUGUGUCUUUACUCAUUGAUUUGUUGAUGCUGUGCCAGAGUCUGUCCUUAUGCAUUGAAACUUCUGGUCUCUCAAGUUUACAACCAGAUUUAAACAUCUACUAGUUCACGAGUCUAUCCUUAUGCAUUGAAACUUGUGGCCUUGUUUCCUGUGACUUUUUCAGUUGUUUUUCAGGUCAUUUGGGUAUUGAAUAAUGAAAUUUUGAGAAGGCUGCGUCUUUGAUGUGUUGUUCUUCCUAUUUCCCUCUCUCUGAUAUUCUCAAUAUCGUUAGGAACACCUGUUCUCCACUAAUUUGUGAUCUUUGGCUCUUGUUGGUUUUGAUUCAUUGGCAGACGAUGAUUUGUGAGCAUUUUAUAUCCAUGGAUUCUAGAAGCUCCUGUGACCAGAUAAGAUGCUAACAGUUGGUCAAGUAUUGGUUUAUUAAUUUUCUUUGUUUUAUCUACGAUCAUUUUAUAAGAGAUUAUAUUUAGCAACUUGCAGUCGGUCUAACCUGAAACCUUUUCAAGGUGCAGCUAUCUUGUUCUGGUUGUUGAACAUGGAUGGGAUGUUUGAUGCCCUUAUGCAUAUAAUGUUUGUUGAGGGAGUAAAAUAGUGGUGACUUUUGUGUUCUAUCGUUAUUUGUCUUGUUCUUGGUUAUCUUUGCUCUCUAUUAUCAUUUUUUUUGUAACGUAGACUUGGAAUUUUUUUGGGCCUCAUCCUGUGACAGGUGGUACAAUAUAAGUUUUGAUUCUAUCAAACUACGAACUUAAGGUGGAGCUAUCCUUGUCCGGUUGUUGGACACGGAGUAACCUAUGAUGGUGUCAUUGAUAUAGUGUUUAUCGAGGGUAACAGAGGGUGUACAGAAUAUAUAUUUUUUUUUUUACUAUAUUCUCUCUUCUAACUAGAGUUUUCUGUGCUUACGUUAUACUUACUCUUCAAUUUCCAGAUGUCUGAUCGUUGUGGGGUUCUUAACUGGAAGGCAGUUUAGUUUGGUGCUUGGUUAUCUUUUUCUCUUUCAUCAGUUUUUUGUUUGUUGCGUAGACAUGGAUAUUGUUCUCCGCCUCACCCCUGUGACAGGAGGUAAAGAUUAUGUUUUGAUUCUAUGAAAGUAGGAGCUUAAGGUGGGGUUAAUCUUUGUCUGGUUCGUUGCUUUGUUAUCUUUGCUCUCUAUUUUAGUAUUUUUUUGUUGUGUAGACUUGGAUAUUGUUUCGGGCCUCACCCUGUGACAGGAGAUACAAUAUAAAUUCUGAUUAUGUCAAAGUAGGAACUUAAGGUGGAGCUAUCCUUGUCGGGUUGUUGGACACAGAGUAAUCUAUGAUGCUGUCAUUGAUAUAGUGUUUAUCGAGGGUAGCAGAGGGAGUACAAAGUAGUAUUUUUUCUACUACGUUUUCUCUUCUACCUAGAGUUUCCGUGCUUAUUGUUAUACUCUUCAAUUUCCAGAUGUCUGAUCGUUGUGUGGUUUUUAAAUGCAAAGCAGUUUGGUUUAUUAUGUAGAUGUGGAUGUGGAUGUGGAUGUGGAUAGUGUUUUCUGCCUGACCCUAUGACAAAAGAUAAGAAUUAAGUUUUGAUUCUAUAAAUGUAGGAGCUUAUGUUGGGGCUAAUGUUGGUCUGGUUGUGGGAAGCAGACCAACCUUUGAUGUUGUCAUUGAUAAUAGUGUUUAUCAAGGGUAGUAGAGGUAGUAUAGUGUAGUAUGUUUUUACUGCAUUUUAUCUUCUACCUAGACUAUCCCGUGCUUACCCGUUAUUCUCAUCAAUUUCCAGAUGCCUGAUCGUUGUUUGGUUCUUAUUCAAGCUUCAUUGGAAGGCAGUUCUGGUUUGAUAAUUGGUUAUCUUUCCUCCUAUUAGGCGAACUUGUUUUGAUUGGUGUUUAUUGGUUUGAUAAUUGGUUAUCUUAUUAUUUUGAUAAUUGGUUAUCUUUGCUCGCUGCAAACUUGUUUUGAUUGGUGUUUAUUGUUUUACAUCGACGAUUAUUUUACAUCUCUUGAUUAAUCUUGGAAGUCGGAUGUUAUUCCCAAGAAAUAAUUAUUAUAUCAUAUAUAUGAACUUUUUGUUGUAUAUAUCAGCAGUGUUUCUUUUAAAAUUUUCUUGUUUGAUGUCUUUUCUCCAAAUAACUAACGAGACAUACUUGCUUCCUGUUUUGGUGAGAUUUUCUAUUUUGGUUAGAGUUUGUGAGGAUAGGGAGAGCUUAGUAUUGAAGAUAUCCUAUAAUUCCACUCAUAUAAUACAUUCAUAUCUUGUAGAACUACGAUAGGGAAUAUAUUCGGGAGCUUUCUUUUGUAGAGAUGACUAACUUGAUCCUAAUUACUACUUGCUCAUCAGUCACCUUGUCCUCAUUACAUAUUAGAAGUAGAUGACUGCAACUAGUUCAUAUUCAAAAAAUACAAUAGGACAUUGGUACAUUAGCCACUAGGAAGAGUACGAACAGCUUGAUGUCUCUAUACUUGAACCUAUAUGUUCUUAGUCCAAUUUAUGACUUUGGGUGCCUUUGGUUGUAUUAGUAUGAGCCAAAUCAUUCUUUUUUUCGUGCAGCAAUGAAUAGUCAGGAUCUUAAAUGGAAAAGGUAUCCUUUUUGUGCUCUAUUGUGGAGAUUAGUUUCUCGUCCUGAUUGCCUAUCAUUUGUUUGUAUUUGUAUGAAAAUUGUCUAAAAUAAGUUUCUAGAAUAUUGAAAUUAUUCUUUCUAUCAAAGUAGGAGCUUAUGGUGGUGCUAAUCUUGGUCUUGUUAUUGGACACGUAUCAACCUUUGUCGUUUUCAUUGAUAUAGUGUUUAUCGAGGGUGGCAGAAUGAGUAUUGUAUUUUUUCUACUACAAUUUAUCUUCCACUUAGACUUUCCCGUGCUUAUCAUUAUUCUCUUCAAUUUCCAUAUGCCUGAUUGCUGUGUGGUUCUUGGUCAAGCUUCACUGGAUGGCAGUUCUUGUUUGAUGCUUGGUUAUCUUUGCUCUCUAUUAUAGUUUUUCUUUGUUAUGUAGACUUGGAAAUUUUUUCGGCCUCACCCUGUGACAGGAGAUACAAAAUAAGUUUUAAUUAUAUCAAAGUAAGAGGUUAAGGUGGGGCUAUCUUGGUCGGGUUGUUGGGCACGGACUAAUCUAUGAUGCCGCCAUUGAUAUAAUUGUUUAUCGAGGGUAGCAGAGUGAGUGCAUAAUAGUAUUUUUUUUUUUCAACAUUUUCUCUUCUACCUAGAGUUUCUCUUGCUUAUUGUUAUACUCUUAAAUUUCCAGAUGUCUGAUCGUUGUAUGGUUCUUAACUGUAGGGCGAUAAAAAGGAUUAACAUUUUUCCCAGUCCCUGUUAAAUUAUUUUCCUUCUCCGGGGUCCUGAUUCUUUGGUGAAUUCACUUCUUUUUCACUUCGCUAUGUCAAUCACUGGAUGUCCUCGUUUCUUGUAUUGGCAUGGAGGUCUAUUCAAUUGAAAAGUCAGUCAACAUAGCGGCAGCCCACAGUUUAAUUAUUUUUACUUGGCUAAGCUAUUUUCUGUAGUAUCUUUUUAUAUUUUUUUAUGUUCCUUUAUGUUUCCACAUCACCUAUAUUUUUUCAUUGCAGAAUCCCUGUAGUUGUGUAUCAUUUGGUGCCUUGGUUAUUUUUUCCCGUCAACCAUGUCAGUGGCGAUGCUACUGGGAUUGGUCAGUCUACAGUAUCAUUUUUUGUAAUCAACCUCUAUCUAACCAGUUUUAUUGAUGACAUUUCAGAUAACUACCUUUCUUAGAGGUGUGUAUGUGCCUUUAUUUAUUGAUAUGUUGAUGCUGUGCCAGAGUCUGGUCCUUAGGCAUUGAAACUUGUGGUCUCUCAAUUUUACAACCAGAUUUAAACAUCUGCUAGUUCACAAAUCUAUCCUUAUGCAUUGAAACUUGUGGUCUUGUAUCUUGUCACUUUUUCAGUUGUUUUUCAGGUCAUUUGGGUAUUGAAAAAUGAAAUUCGUAUAAGGCUGCGGCUGCGAUGUGUUGCUCUUCCUAUUUCCCUCUCUCCGGUUUUCUUAAUAUCGUUAGGAACACCUGUUUUCCACCAAUUUGUGAUCUUUGGCUCUUGUUGGUUUUGAUUCAUUAGCAGACCAUCAUUUGUCACCCUGGCAUUUUAUAUCCAUGGAUACUAGAAGCUCCUGUGACCAGAUAAGAUGGCUACAAUUGGUCAAGUUUUGGUUUAUUAAUUAUCUUUGUUUUAUCUACGAUCAUUUAUAGGAGAAUAUAUUCAACAACUUGGAGUCGGUCUAAUCUGAAAUUUUUCAAGGUGCAGCUAUCUUGUUCUUGUUGUUGAGCAUCGAUGGUAUGCUUGAUGCCCCUAUACAUAUAAUGUUUGUGGAGGGAGUAAAAUAGUGAUCACUUAUGUGUUCUAUCGUUAUUUGCCUUGUCAGUCCCUUUGCAUAUAUAUUUGUUCCUGUACUUUCAGAGGUUUGAAUUUUGGUGGCUCUGGCUGUUGACUACUGGGUUUGAUGAGCUUAUCUCCUUUUUACUUGCUAAUAAAUCCUAAUUUCAAAAGAAUUUGUUUGGUAUAUCUGAUGUCAGGAAAUCUAAACAGUUUGUAGUUUUUCUUCCAGGCUCAGCAUUUCUCUGGGGUGGCUAAUAAUGUUGUUAUCCCAGGUGCUGUAUUAGGUUUCUUACCUAGGUCAUUGAGUGUGUACUUUAUUUAGUUUGUUAGUGGUUGUGGUAGUAGUUUUUGUACCAAGGUAGUCAUAGUAGGUAAGUCUUCAUGUUGGUUUGCUUCUAGAACUUGUGGUUGUGCUACUAUUCCUCUUGUGCAAUGUUGGGCAUUUUCCAGUAGUAUGGCUGAUCACUGAGUUUGGAGAAAAAGGAGUUGAAAAUGUGAGCUGUACUGUUGGACAAGAAAGGUGGUUUUGGUCUCUAUUUAUUCCAUCACUACUAUUACUUAAUUUGUAAUCCAUAUGCGCGCAUCUAAUAUGCAGCAUUGAGCAAGUGAUAUAGGAGAUACAAAAUAGGUUUUGAUUCUAUCAGAGUAGGAGCUUAAGGUGGGACUAUCUUGUUCUGGUUGCUGGACAUGGACCAAUCUUUCACGCUGUCAGUGAUAUAGUGUUUACGAUGGUGGCACUGGGAGUAUAGUUAGUAUAAUAUUCUUUUUUCUACCACAUUUGAUCACCUACCUAGACUUUCCCUGCGCUUAUUGUUAUACGCUUCUAUUUCCAGAUGUCUGAUCAUGGUGUGGUUCUUAAUCAACAUUUACUGGAAAGCAGUUGUGGCGGUUUGAUGCUUGGUUAUCUUUGCUCUCUAUUAUCAAUUUUUUUAUCUGUUACGUAGACGUGGAUAUUGGUUUUGGCUUCACACUGUGACAGGAAAUACAAAGUAAGUUUUGAUUCUAUCAAUGGUGGAGCUAUCUUGGUCUGGUUGUUAGACAUAGACCAAUCUUUGAUGCUGUCAGUGAUUCGAGGUGGCUGAGGGGGGGAGUAUAGUAUAGUAUAGUAUCUUUUUGAUUCAUAUUAUCUCCUACCUAGACUUUCCCCGUGCUUAUCGUUAUAUUAUUCAAUUUCUAGAUGUCUGAUUUAUGUGUGGUUCUUAAACAACCUUCACUGAAAGGCAGUUCUGGUUUGCUCUCUUUCAUCAGUUUUUUGUUUUGUUUGUUACGUAGAUGUGGAUAUUUUUUUUGGCCUCACCCUGUGACAGGAGAUACAGAAUAUGUUUUGAUUCUGUCAAAUUAGUGGCUUAAGAUGUUUGAUCUUUGGGUGGUUCUUGAUCAGUUUUCAAGGGAAGGCGAUUCUGGUUUGAUGCUUGGUUCCCUGUUGCUCUGUUUCAUCAGUUUUUUGUUUUGUUUGUUACGUAGAUGUGGAUAUUUUUUUUAGGCCUCACCAUGUGACAGGAGAUACUUUAGUGUUGAUUCUAUCAAAUUAAGAGCUUAUCCUGGUCUGGUUGUUGGACAUGGAGCAAUCUUUGAUGCUGGCCUUGAAAUAGUGUUUAUCAGAUGUGGCAGAAGGGAGUAUAGUAUUUUUCUACUAUCAUUUUUGUUCUAGUUGGAAUUUCCCCUUGCUUAUUGUUUUGCUCUUCAAUUUACAAGUCUGAGUCUGAUCUUUGGGUGGCUCUUUAUCAGUUUUCAAGGGAAGGCAUUCUGGUGCUUGAUUCUCUCAAAAUAGGAGCUCAGGGUGGGGCUAUCCUUGUUGGUUUGUUGGAUGGAACAAUCUUUGAUCCUGUCAUUGAUAUAUUGUUUAUCAAGGAUGGCAGAGGGAGUAUAUAUAGUAUAAUAUAUUUUCUACUACAUUUUAUCUUCUACCUAAACUUUCCUUGUGCUUAUCCAGAUGUAUGAUAGUUGUGUGGUUCGUAGUCAACCUUCACUGUAGUUCUAAUUUGAUGCUUGGUUCCCUUUUGCCCUGAAUCUAUUUUAUAUUUGUUGCGUAGACGUUGAUAUUGUUUUUGGCCUCAUCCUGUUACAGGAUGAUUAUGAUUAAUUAGGAGCUUAAGGUGGGACUAUUUUGGUAUGGUUGUUGGACAUGGACCAACUUUGAUUCUGGCAUUGAUAUAAUGUUUAUCGAGGGUGGCAGAGGGCGUAUUAUUAUUUUUCAUCUGUCGUUUAUCUUCAAGCUGAAGCUUUCCCUCGCUUAUUGUUAUGCUCUUCAAUUUCCAGAUGUCUGAUCUUUGGGUGGUUCUUGAUUUGUUUUCAAGGUAUGGCGGUCUGUUUGAUGCUUGGUUCCCUUUUGCUCUGUCUCAUCUGUUUUUUUUUUUGUUACGUAGACAUGUAUAUUGUUUUCAGCCUCACCCUGUAACAUGAGAUACAAAAUGAGUAUCAGUCCUAUCAAAUUAGGAGCUUAAGGUGGGGCUAUCUUGGUCUGGUUGUUGGGCGUGGACCAGUCUUUGGUGCUGGCAUUGAUAUAUUGUUUAUGAGGGUGGCAGAGGAGUAUAAUAUUUUUCUACGGUCAUUUAUCUUCUUGCUGGACUUUCGACUUCCUCAUUGUUUAUGCUCUUCCUUUUCAGAUGUUCUUUGUGUAUUUCUUAACCAGUUUUCAAGGGAAUGUGGUUCUGGUUUGGUUCUUGGUCCCUUUUGCUCUACUUAAUCAGUUUUUUGUUAGUUAUGUAGAUUUGGAUAUUGUUUUCAGCCUCACCAUGGGGCUAUUUUGGUCUAGUUGUUGGACGGAUGGAUGGAUUUUUUGAUACUGACAUUGGAUAAAGUGCUUAUCGAGGGUGGCUAUUUCUGGUUUGGUUCUUGGUUCCCUUCUGCUCUACUUUAUCAGUUUUAUGUUUGUUACGUAGAUUUGGAUUAUUGUUUUCAGCCUCACCAUGUGACAGGAGAUACAAAAUAAGUUUUAGUUCGAUCAGAUAAGGAGCUUAAGAUGGGGCUAUUUUGGUCUAGUUGUUGGACAUGGAUGGAUGGAUUUUUUGAUGCUGACAGUAUUUUAAAGUGUUUAUCGAGGGUGGCAGAGGGAGUACAAUAUUUUUCUACUGCCAUUUAUCUUCUAGUUGAACUUCCCCCUUGCUUAUUUUUUUUGCUCUUCAAUUUCCAGAAGUCUGAUCUGAGGGUUGCUCAGUUUACAAGGGAAGGCGUCCUCUUGGUUUGAUUCUUGGUUCCCAUUUGGUCUGCUUCAUCAGUUUUUUGUCUGUUAUGUGGAUAUUGUUUUCGGCCUCACCUUGUAACAGGAGAUACAAAUAAGUUACUUGAGGUGGGGGCCGUGGGGGAUAUGUUGGUCCAGUUGUUGGACAUGGACCAAUCUUUGAUGCUGACAUUGAUAUAAUAUUUAUCGAGGGUGGCAGAGGGAGUAUAAUAUUUUCCUACUGUUAUUUAUCUUUUAGCUGGACAUUCCUCUUGCUUAUUGUUAUGCUCUUCAAUUUCCAGAUGUCUGAUCUUUGGGGUGGUGGUUCUUAAAGCAGAAUGUUUACAGAGGAAGGCGUUCCGGUGUUCAACUUAUAUCUGGUUUUCUUCUAUUGUUGUGGUCUUCUUUUUAAGGUUAUUCAACU